rnacentral:rRNA from 1 species
ACUACUUUGUGGUUCAUGACUGGGGUGAAGUCGUAACAAGGUAGCGCUAGGGGAACCUGGCGCUGGAUCACCUCCUUAAACGAUGAU